UACAGAGGUCCCAAGCGUUGUUCGGAUUCACUGGGCGUAAAGGGUGCGUAGGUGGUGAGGUAAGUCGGAUGUGAAAUCUCCGAGCUCAACUCGGAAACUGCAUUGGAAACUACCUUGCUCGAGGGUUGGAGGGGGGACUGGAAUGCUUGGUGUAGCAGUGAAAUGCGUAGAUAUCAAGCGGAACACCAGUGGCGAAGGCGAGUCCCUGGACCGGUUCUGACGCUGAUGCGCGAAAGCGUGGGGAGCAAACAGGG
rnacentral:rRNA from 1 species